ensembl:lncRNA
GUGUGUGUGUGUGUAUACGGCAGCGUGUGUGCGUGUGUGUGUCCUCUCAUUAGCGCGCAGUAGCUCGUUAGCACGGAGCUAGCUGAGCGUCGGGGCACCAGGCAGCUUCAUUAGCCACUGUGACAUUUAUCUGAUCCACCGCCGCGUCUCCAUGGCAACCCUCAGAUGCAAACACGGCAACGCGUACCGCCGAAAUCACAUGGCCUCACGUGGACCCAGACCCACAGACCCAGGUCCUCCAGCAGGGACCAGCCCACCAUAAACAGACCCAGGUCCCCUGGCAGGGACCAGUCCACCAUAAACAGACCCAGGUCCUCCAGCAGAGACCAGUUCACCAUAAACAGACCCAGGUCCUCCAGCAGGGACCGGUCCACCAUAAACAGACCCCGGUCCUCCAGCAGGGACCAGUCCACCAUAAACAGAUCCAGAUCUGUUAGAAUUUUAGAACAACAACAGAUUUCUAUUAAACAACAACAUAUGAUAUGAAUGUUUUGCAUCAAUUUGUGUGUGAUAACAUCUCACCACAUGUGCGUGUGUCACGGUGUGUGUUUGGUUAGCUGACCUUGGCUGCCCUGCUCCCUCCGG